rnacentral:rRNA from 1 species
UACGAGGGGGGGCGAGCGUUGUUCGGAAUUAUUGGGCGUAAAGGGUGCGUAGGCGGUUUGGUAAGUCUUGUGUGAAAUCUACAGGCUCAACUUGUAGUCUGCACGAGAAACUGCCGGGCUUGAGUAUGGGGAGAGGUGAGUGGAAUUCCUGGUGUAGCGGUGAAAUGCGUAGAUAUCAGGAGGAACACCUGUGGCGAAAGCGGCUCACUGGACCAUAACUGACGCUGAUGCACGAAAGCUAGGGGAGCAAACAGG